UCCACCAGGCACCAUGCCCCCGCCUGCCCCCGCUCGGCGCGAUGCUCGCCCCUGCGCUUGCCUCGCCCCCGCGACGCACGCCACGAUGCCCCCGGCCGCUCGUGAUGCCCGCCCCUGCGUCCGCCCUAUCCCCGCGACGCACGCCGCGGUUCCCCCGCCCUCUCAUGAUGUCCCGCCAUCGCCGGACGCGGGCGUCCGCAUCCUCCGCUUACCCAGCGUGCUUGCCUAGAUCUAUGUCAACAAAACCCACCUGCCUUGCUUGCGACGACCGAACCUCCCGCCUCACCCGGACGCGGGCGUCCGCAUCCUUCGCUCUCGCCCCGUGCGAUGGCUUCGCACCAGCCGCCGCCCAACCUUCGCUCUCGCCCCGUGCGAUGGCUUCACACCAGCCGCCGCCCAACCUUCGCUCUCGCCCCACCUCCCUCGGACACGGUGGUGAGGCGGGAUUGGCGUACGCGGGAGCAGUAGGCGAGAGAGAGGGAAAGGUGUGUCGUGGAGGAGGACAUGGAGGUCACCGAAUAGGAAGAAAGGGGAGUCGUGGACUCUGAUGUGGAGGGUUUCAACAUUGCUUUAGCAGACCUAGAUCCAGUUCGAGGUACCAAGCCUAUGAGCUGAUCCAUGCCAUAUAGGCCAUGCUUGGUGCCGCUGGCGCUGUCAUCCCAGAGGCCUGCAACAAGUUUGGCGCUAACUGCGACCCUUAGGCCGUUUCGUUCAAGACUGAUACUCUACUCCUGGAUGACAAUACUAAACUACUUCGGCAACAACAUUCCCAUCAACGGAUCUAUGUCUGGCUGUCAUCGCGAAGAUCAUCCUCGUCAUCGGUGCCCCAGUGGGCCCUUUAACAUCCUAGGCCUGGCCAACGACCCCUACCAAACUGCCAUCCUCAAGGUGAAGGAGAUCAAGAACGGCCGACUGACCAUGUUCUCCAUGUUCGCCUUCUUCAUCUAAGCCUAUGUCACCGACGAAGGCCCCCGUGUAGAACCUCGCCAAGCAGAAGGUUCUUCUUGAGGGUGUUGAGACGUACAACAAGUUGCAAAACGACCAUAUUACAGCAAAAGAACGACUUUAGUAAGUUUGAUCCAUUUAUAUAUUAUGAGUUAGCUUCGAUCGACAAAAUUGUGUGCUUAUAUUUGCAGGUAAGAGCAUGGUACUAAUAUGGCAUGUUGUGUUUAGUGGAAACCUCCCUAUCUUGAGGUUUCUUCUUGAUCAUGGUGAUGAUCUCCAUGAAGAAGGCAGCCUGGAAGGUCAUGACAGGUUCACCGUUCUACAUAUAGCUACAGAGAAAGAUAUAAUGUAGACUCAUAUUUUCUAUUAUUUAUGUUGCUUAUUCUGUUAAUCAAUAAACUGCAUGCAAUUUUUUGUUUAUAACUAUUUUUAGAAAAAAACAUACUUCAUGUGCAAAACAUUGCCUGGCGAAUUUUCAUGCUUUACUUGUAUAUUUGUGGAUCAUACUAUGUUCUUGUAACUACAGUUUAAUGUCAGUGGAACACAAACACAUGAAGUUGUUCUGAUAACGAUAAUCCUUCUUGAAUAAUUCCUAUAUGUAAGUUAGCAUAGCAUGUGUGUGGGUGUUUGUUUUCUUAGUAGUGGCAAUGGUUUAUUCUUUUUUUUGCCAUCCUGUUAGUAUUUUGUAGUUCAUUAUCAAGUAUCAACCUAUCUCUUUGCUUUGUCUAAUCCGAGAUCAAGGACUUCCUUCUGACCGUGAGGAGGAAGGAUGCCCGAUCAGUGAAGGUCAAGAGGAUCAAGGAUGUUGUUAAAUUCAAGUUACCCAAAUGGUGCAUUGCCUGAUAUCAUAAUUGGACAUAAGUUUCAGAGAUAUCGUCUAAGUCUUCUGGUUGGUUUAAACUGUCACUGGCAUAAGGCCAUAACACCUCUGUUGUCUGAAUGUUUAUAUUUCAUUCACCUAUAUACUAUUUAUUGACUCAAUCAUUGUAGCAAAAAAAAUUAAUUGCAUUGGCAAAUAUGAUUUUCUUAUAUUCUCUAGCAGAUGUUUAAGGUAUGUAAACCUAAACUUUUAAAAGAUGCUAACGAGAGCAUAUAGCGAUAAAUAGUGCUUUUGUACCUCAAUGUAUCUUUAUUACAUUUUGGUUAGCUCCGUAGCAAAGCACGGGCAUAUACCUAGUUCUUGAUAUAUGUCAUGAUUUCUGGCGAUAGUGUCUUUCAGUAGUAGCAGCUUGUGUAGCACAAUUCUGUAGAGAAUUCUUUCUUCGGUGUUUAGACCUAAUCACCUAACAACUGCCUGGAUGCAAAUUUUUUAUGGAAUUUGUAAUGGUGCCAUAUUGCUAAUAGGAUGGGUGACCGUUCUAGGUUUACAACAGUACAGCACUGAAUUCAUCAUCACACACAACAUAAAGCUAGCAUUGUUAUGGUUUACAUGGUCAUUAAUUUUGUACGUAAUACACCUUGAUUUUGAAUUUGGAUAUUUCAACAAAUGAUUAUUGGUUGUAUGUUUAUAUAGCAUAGUAGUUAAAAACUUGUCAGCAUUACCUGCAUAUGGAACAUUGUAAUUGCUGUAAGGCUACUUUGGCCAGUUAAAGUUCCUCUAGCUAGCAUCUCGCUCUAUUUUUCUUCUGUUUCUAAAAGUUAUCAGGAGCUAUAGAGCAUAAAGAGCCUGGACAGUUAGGGGCGUGAUUGGUAGCCUGAAUACAGGUUGGUCUUUGAUCUGGGUAACUACUUUGUGGCAUGCUCUGUAAGUUAAAACUACUUUAGUCUUGUAGGCUGUAAAAGUUAUUAAGAAGCCCACAGAGCACUUACCCAUAAAGCGGGCACCACUUAGGGCGCGGUUCACUGCACCAAAACCCAAUUUUCCAGGUCUUAUGGGUAAGAUCGGCGAAUGGAAUGCUAUUGUCAUUUUCAAAGGAUGAAUUGAGCACUACUCAGCCUUCUAUUGUAAGUCUACUGGUUCUUGUUCUCUGUGGUUAUUCCUACAUCACAUGAUGGUUGUGAAUUGGUAAUUUUCGUAUGGAAUUUGUACUCGGUGUUCCCUUUUUCACUUGAGCAAUUCCAGGGGAAAAAAUAUAGGAAAACAAUGUCAUAUAGUGGGUAAAAGGUUGUUGUGAGUGUGUGUUGAGGGUGAAUGGUGGGGGUGGGGGGCAGCGCACACAAUGUCAGAGGGAGUGUAAAAGGUUUUGGGUAUCAUCUUUGUUCUGUAUCACGUAGCUUAGAGGCUUGGGUGCCUACUCAAAUGUGUGGGGGAAAAAAUCAUGGUCUCCAGUUUGUGUGGGAGGUAUCUCUGCCUGAUCGUAGGAAGAAUAGGUGGAUAAUGUUUUAUUUACUCGUGUAAGGAGCGGUUGAAGGAUGUGCAAGGGAGGGUCGAGGUGCUGUCUGUCUCAGCGCACACAGAACAUCUCUACUGAAAGCCAGCGCAAGCAGCAUAGAAGGUCACAAAAAGAGUGCAAAAGAUAGACCCACGAGGUCAUCUUUGAAAGAACAAAGGACGUGGUGGAGUGAAGAACAAUGAGCUCGAAUCAGUAGUAUCUAUCUAUAGCAGGCCUUUGGCGGCAGCUGCAGGUCGGCGGCGUUGCUCUCCAGCAUCUCAAGGACUUGGCCCAUGGACGGCCGACUGUCCGGUUUGGACUGUAUGCACCACAGUCCAACUACGACCAUCUUCCUCACGAGCAGCACUUCCGUGGCGUCGUCGUCGUCACCGCGGAUCUCGCCGUUGCUCGUGGUUGUGGGGCGACAGAACUGGUCCAAGUUUUCAUACAGCCAUUGCGGAAAAUACCUGCUGCUGCUGCUGUUGCCGCCGUCGUCUGUAGCACUGACAUGGACAUUCUUCCU